rnacentral:rRNA from 1 species
GAUGAACGCUGGCGGCGUGCCUAAUACAUGCAAGUCGAACGGAGAGAAAGUAGCAAUACGAUCUCUUAGUGGCGAACGGGUGAGUAACGCGUUGGUGACCUGCCCCGAAGAGGGGGAUAACAGUUCGAAAGGAUUGCUAAUACCCCAUACGGUUGUUUAGAUUAGAAGCUAAACAACCAAAGGCGAAAGUCGCUUCGGGAGGGGCCUGCGUCCCAUCAGCUAGUUGGUAAGGUAACGGCUUACCAAGGCUACGACGGGUAGGGGACCUGAGAGGGUGGCCCCCCACAAUGGAACUGAAACACGGUCCAUACACCUACGGCUGGCAG